UUAAAAAUAUUUGGUAAGUGGGCAUUCUGCCAAGUUUCGCAUUGAUUUGUUGUCCAUUAGAAUAGAAUUUUUUUUUCCUGUUCAAUUUUAAUGUUAUUUAGAAUUGUCAAAUACGUGAAAACUCAGGUGACAAUGUAGAGGAACAACAUAAAGACCAAUUUGAAUAAGACAAAAUACAUAUAUAGAUUGAAUAAAUUAUGUUAGAUCUUACAGUAUACUAUAGUUUUGGUCUAAACCUGUUGAAAUGCAAGGAAAUAUUUGCAAUAGCGACAGUUCGAAAAAUUUCUCUCAAGUUGAUUGAACCCACUGGCUUCACAUCACAUGCCACUUUUUUUUUGGACCAGCAUUGUCCCAUGUGCCCACAUCCGCUGGUUGUGUAUCAUAAUCCUUCAAUGAGAAUAUAAAUAAAACAUUAGCACAUCUCAUUUGCUUUGCUCCAUGACCAUAUGUUUUCUUCACGUAACUGAAGUUGAUGAGUUCCAAACAUAAAAAGGAAAAAGUUAUCCGUUAGCUUUCAAACUUUAGAGACUUCAUGACCAGAUUCAUUCUCCAAUAUAUUGCGGCAAGUAGUUUGAAGAGAAUAGCCACCGCCUUGAUUAGGACUCACAUCUGGAAGUUAAUAAGAAAAGAAUGAAUGCAAGGUUGUGACUGUUUUUUUUUUUUUUUCCCACCCAUUUAGGAGGAUUUAUAGUGUUUCCACACUUCCCCUCCAUUGUGACUCGAACCCAGGACCUACCGGUUGUGACUGUUGGGUUGUGCGUAUGCGUUUUUUUUUUUUUUUUUUUUAAUUAUUAGAGUAUUUAUUAGUUUAAUAUAGGGGCAUUUAAGUAAUUUAACUUUCAAGUUGGAGAGUUCAUGCUUAUAAUCUAUAUAUAAUAUAAAGCUAGGCAUAGACAAGGUGAUGUGACACCUCUCUAUGGCCAGCAUUGCUCUUUAUCUUUUUUGUGGUUUUUUUGCCUUUUUCUCCUAUUUUUUCUGUUUUUUAAAUAUUUAAAAGUGGCUAAAUAAUUACAUAAUUAACUGAGAAGGAAAUAAUUGCAUUAUUAAAUGAGGGGAAGCUUGAAAGUUUCCAGCAUAUGAACCCACGAUUUAACUGUUACCAGAAGCUUAAAAGUUUCCAGCAUAUUACUAUUUCUUUAUUGGCAAUAGAAGAAUGGGCCAUUUCAAGGGUUGCUGGUUUCUUAUUUUCCAAGAAGAAGAUUCACGAGACUUUUAGAAUAAUUUGGUAUGAAGAGCAUUACAUCAUCGAAUACAUGAUUGUUCUCAAAACUCUUAGAAGCUAGAUAAGGUCGAUGUGAUCAGAGAGAGGCUCACGGCUAACAAGCACGUGUGUUCAUAAUUUUUUUAUGGACAAUGUAUUCAAUAUCUUUGUGUAUUAAAGAAGAAAAAAAUGGCUGGCUUUAAAAUUAUUCCUUAAUAUUUUAUUGAUCGGCAUGUAAAUAUCAUUAGCUUUCUUAAAUUGAUUUACUUCGUACUUUUCGACUUGUAAUUUUUUGAAAUUUUAAUAUUUUUAUUUGUGUCAA